ACUUAAUGCCAAGCACGAAUACAGGAGACACCACAGUCGAAGCAGAAGCCGCCUCGAGCCCCUCACCCCUUUCUCCUUUCCUCUCCCAUGACACGCAACCUUUCCUUCCUCUUCUUCCCCCGAUCUGCUCGUUCCAAUUCUUGGCCAUCGGAAGGAGGCAGCCAGGGGAUGGGAAGGCCGAGCGGAAGAGAAGGAUGAGGGGACGCGGCUGUGAGUACGCCACCGACCAUGCCGAUCGGGUGGGAAGAGAAGUCGGCGGCGGCGGCGGUUUCGAUCUGUGAUCUGCCACCAACGCCGCCGGAGGGACGGAAGAAAGCAUCUGAGAUGGCUGCAGGGGCGGCGCGGGCCUGGGCUCGGGCAGCCAUCAUGGCGUCAGAUGCGCCGGCGGGGGCCUCUUCAUCGUAGCAAGGCGUGGCCCUGCUCUUCCCCAUGGCGCUGAUGACAAGGCGGGCGGCGACGCCAGCUCUCGUCCCGAGGAAGCCGCAGGAGGACGAGUACAAGCCAGACCAGGUCGACGUGCCCCCCUGCCACAACUCCUUCUCCUGCGGGUUGGUUGCUGCUGUUGCUGGUGCCGUUCGUGUCCGAUUCGAUUGGCCUGCCGUUUGCGGGAGGCUGCAAGAUUUGUUGGAACCAAUUUUGAGAAGACUGAAUCUACCACGUAUCCAAAUGGAGCGGCUGCAAUCGUUAUAUACCCAGAAUGAUGCUUUUAUAUGUCUGAAUUUUCACAAGUAUUGCUAAACUUGGCCCUAGCGAAGUGGCAAGUGUACUGCUGUAGUUAGCCUACUACUUCAGUUAUAUGAACCUACAAAUGGCAAGUGAGCUCUUUUUAUCUUUUGCUAUUACGUUCAUCCCUUCUUCCAGGACUUCCUGAUUUAGAGAAGAAUAGAUAUAGUGAAGUGCACUCUAUGGUGUGUUUUCUUUUGUUUCCGAUUAUGCUGCUGCUUGAUCUAUAACUAAAGGGUACAUAGUCCAACUCUGUAUUCUGAGAAAUGCAUUUUUUACUCCGCUUCGUAGUAAUAUGUUUUUCACCAACAUAUAUUGUGACAGGAAAGAGAUGUUUCAUGAAUUGACAAAUAAAUUUUGGCACCUGCUGUUCUCACCUCUCGAUGCUUUGCAUCUGAUAAGUAUGCCAUAGGUUUUAAGGCGACACUUUUGUCAUGCAAAGCGGAACUAAAGUAGCAAAAAACAGAAAUUGUGAUUUCUGUAAUGCACAUCUGCUAAAAAAAACUUAUGAGUUAAGAAAAGAAAAUAUGUUGUCGAAAAAAUUUAGGGCAGCUUACAUAAGAAUCAAAUCCUAUAUUGAUUAUAGGUCUUUUUACUAUGAUGUUUUUCCUUGCAUUGUUCUUUUUUUGGCUGGAUUUUUACCUUUCACUGUUACAUCAUAUCUUUGUUCGCCUUGAGGUACAUAUUUCUCUUAUCAACAAUUCUAGCACAACAUUCGAAAGAAAUACUUAAAUUCCUUUUGAUUAUAAGACAUGCAGAGUUAAAAAAUAGUUAGAAUUUGAGAAUCAACUAGGAGUGAGGUUAAAGUACUGAUCCCUCUUUAUCCCUGUAACUUCAUCUACCAAAUUUCCUUUUGUUUUAAUGGCAGACUGGUUAGUUGAUUCCUACGGAUUUCUUCUCUAAUAAGGACAUGGUGACGUAUACCAGAGUCCCAAAAUAUUUAUCAUUCUUUGAAGCUUUGCAAGGGGGAAGGCUAAGACAUGGAUCAAAUUUUCGGAAACAAGCCGUGUGGACUCAAAUUAAGUGCGGAUGAAACCCUCUGAGGCUCUGACCAUAAAGAGAAUAAAGAAAGGUGUUCUAAGAUUUGUGGCAUAAGACAAUAACAGAUACUGAAAUCUUGGCAACAUAGGUAGGGCAGAUGGGAAGCAGCAUUUCAGAGCGUAACGACAUGGUCCUGACUGCGGUAGGAUAGAUGGGAAGCAGCAUUUUCCAUCCUCCCGCGCCAGACCAACUUCGUCAUUUUCUGAUUGGUGUGAAGUGAGCACACAUUUGUUGAUCGUUAGUCUACCGCUUGCUUCCUGUUCUCUUCAUUACUUCCUUCCUGCCGUACCACUGGUGAGAUGUUGUCUCCUCAUGCUUUUAUCCGUUCAUAUGAGUGAUUCAAUGUUGUUGUUGGACUGGUUUAUUGUGUGGAUGGGGUGGCGCUCGUCAGGUGUUUGUGCUUAUGCUCCACACAUGACCUGCUUUAAAAAUUGUCUUGUCAGGAUUUGUAUUCAUUGCACACCCCGCUGCAGAUCCGAGCAGGCACCUUGCAUCCUUCCUUUUGCACUGUGAAUCUUAUUACUUAACCAGAUCUGCGUAUAUCUCGUGUGUUAACCAGAUCUGGAUAUAUCUCGUGUGAUGAUCUGCGUCAUGGAUGGCUGAUGAGUAUUCAGUGAUGUCUGCUAUGUUGUGCGCUAAACGUUUCACCUUUUUUAUGGUGUUUUUCCUCGAGGAAACUAUUGCUCUGAGAACUAAAGUGAUGAGGCACUUUUAAGCCCUCAAAUUUAGUUGUAUGCUAUUAUCGUUGCACUUUAUGUUGUUUUUCCAACUUCAGUUAACUUGCAGGAUCCACCUCUAGCCUACCCCAACUUGCUUGGGACUAAAGGCUUUGUUGUUGUUGUUAUUGUUGUAGUUAACUUGCAGGAUCGCGACAGUUAUUGGAAGAUGAUGAACAAGUACAUAGGAUCAGAUGUAAUGUCAGUUAUUACACUUCUAAUCAUCAUCUUUGAGCUUUUGGGAAAAUGGCAGAGGUUUGUACUGAUGGACUAUGCCCUUAAGUUUCCCUCUAUACCACGCUGGAACGUCUAGACCACAAGAGGAACAUAAAACAUUUUGAUGUUAGAGGUUCUCACAUCCUGAAGACACAAUACUUGCCAUAUGGUGUCAACCAAGAACUUUUUUUGCUUUGGCUGUUGAAUAUAUCACAUUUUCUCAAUCUAUCUACCAGGAUGAACUCUUGCAUCUUGAUAGAUAAUCUUGCUAUUCUGAUGUCUGGUCAUGCAAACUUCCUUUUUUCUUUGAGAUUUAAAAAAUAAAUUGUGGAACAGGUGGGUGAAAGAAAACAUGUUGUACCAGCUACAUUUUGCAUGGCAAAAGUUGGCAUAUUGUUA